GAUGAACGCUGGCGGCGUGCCUAAUACAUGCAAGUCGAGCGAACGGACGAGAAGCUUGCUUCUCUGAUGUUAGCGGCGGACGAGUGAGUAACACGUGGAUAACCUACCUAUAAGACUGGGAUAACUUCGGGAAACCGGAGCUAAUACCGGAUAAUAUUUUGAACCGCAUGGUUCAAAAGUGAAAGACGGUCUUGCUGUCACUUAUAGAUGGAUCCGCGCUGCAUUAGCUAGUUGGUAAGGUAACGGCUUACCAAGGCAACGAUGCAUAGCCGACCUGAGAGGGUGAUCGGCCACACUGGAACUGAGACACGGUCCAGACUCCUACGGGAGGCAGCAGUAGGGAAUCUUCCGCAAUGGGCGAAAGCCUGACGGAGCAACGCCGCGUGAGUGAUGAAGGUCUUCGGAUCGUAAAACUCUGUUAUUAGGGAAGAACAUAUAUGUAAGUAACUGUGCACAUCUUGACGGUACCUAAUCAGAAAGCCACGGCUAACUACGUGCCAGCAGCCGCGGUAAUACGUAGGUGGCAAGCGUUAUCCGGAAUUAUUGGGCGUAAAGCGCGCGUAGGCGGUUUUUUAAGUCUGAUGUGAAAGCCCACGGCUCAACCGUGGAGGGUCAUUGGAAACUGGAAAACUUGAGUGCAGAAGAGGAAAGUGGAAUUCCAUGUGUAGCGGUGAAAUGCGCAGAGAUAUGGAGGAACACCAGUGGCGAAGGCGACUUUCUGGUCUGUAACUGACGCUGAUGUGCGAAAGCGUGGGGAUCAAACAGGAUUAGAUACCCUGGUAGUCCACGCCGUAAACGAUGAGUGCUAAGUGUUAGGGGGUUUCCGCCCCUUAGUGCUGCAGCUAACGCAUUAAGCACUCCGCCUGGGGAGUACGACCGCAAGGUUGAAACUCAAAGGAAUUGACGGGGACCCGCACAAGCGGUGGAGCAUGUGGUUUAAUUCGAAGCAACGCGAAGAACCUUACCAAAUCUUGACAUCCUUUGACAACUCUAGAGAUAGAGCUUUCCCCUUCGGGGGACAAAGUGACAGGUGGUGCAUGGUUGUCGUCAGCUCGUGUCGUGAGAUGUUGGGUUAAGUCCCGCAACGAGCGCAACCCUUAAGCUUAGUUGCCAUCAUUAAGUUGGGCACUCUAAGUUGACUGCCGGUGACAAACCGGAGGAAGGUGGGGAUGACGUCAAAUCAUCAUGCCCCUUAUGAUUUGGGCUACACACGUGCUACAAUGGACAAUACAAAGGGCAGCGAAACCGCGAGGUCAAGCAAAUCCCAUAAAGUUGUUCUCAGUUCGGAUUGUAGUCUGCAACUCGACUACAUGAAGCUGGAAUCGCUAGUAGUCGUAGAUCAGCAUGCUACGGUGAAUACGUUCCCGGGUCU
rnacentral:rRNA from 1 species